GUCAGUGUGGCAUAGUGGUUUCAGUGCUGGACUACAACUCUGGAGACCAGGGGUUGAAUCCCUGCUCAGCCA